rnacentral:rRNA from 1 species
GAUGAACGCUGGCGGCGUGCCUAAGGUAUGCAAGUCGAGCGGUGAUGUAUGGAGGAAGUUUUCGGAUGGAAUCGAUACAUCCUAGAGGCGGACGGGUGAGUAACGCGUUAGCAACCUGCCUUUCACAGGGGGAUAACGGAUCGAAAGAUUCACUAAUACAGCAUGAGACCAAGAUACCGAGUGGUAUAGGGGUCAAAGGAGCAAUCCUGUGAAAGAUGGGCUCGCGUCCGGUUAGGUAGUUGGUGGGGUAAUGGCUCACCAAGGCAAUGAUCGGUAGCCGACCUGAGAGGGUGAUCGGCCACACUGGAACUGAGAGACGGUCCAGACUCCUACGGGAGGCAGCAGUGGGGAAUAUUGGGCAAUGGGGGAAACCCUGACCCAGCAACGCCGCGUGAGGGAAGAAGGUUUUCGGAUUGUAAACCUCUGUCCUUGGUGAAGAGCAGAAGACGGGAGCCAAGGAGGAAGCCCCGGCUAACUACGUGCCAGCAGCCGCAGUAA